rnacentral:rRNA from 1 species
UACGUAGGUGGCAAGCGUUGUCCGGAAUUAUUGGGCGUAAAGCGCGCGCAGGCGGUCCUUUAAGUCUGAUGUGAAAGCCCACGGCUCAACCGUGGAGGGUCAUUGGAAACUGGGGGACUUGAGUACAGAAGAGAAGAGUGGAAUUCCACGUGUAGCGGUGAAAUGCGUAGAGAUGUGGAGGAACACCAGUGGCGAAGGCGGGUCUCUGGGCCGUAACUGACGCUGAGGAGCGAAAGCGUGGGGAGCGAACAGG